rnacentral:rRNA from 1 species
AACCCCAACAGCUAGCCCACCCAAAACAUACAACAACCAACAUUAAUAACCCAACACACACUAAAGUUAAAAAACAAACCAUUUUUCCCCCUGAGUAUGGGCGACAGAAAAGGACAUAUAGGAGCAAUAGAAAAA